rnacentral:rRNA from 1 species
UACGUAGGUGGCAAGCGUUGUCCGGAUUUAUUGGGCGUAAAGAGCUCGUAGGCGGCUUGUCGCGUCGACUGUGAAAUCCCGCGGCUCAACUGCGGGUCUGCAGUCGAUACGGGCAGGCUAGAGUUCGGUAGGGGAGACUGGAAUUCCUGGUGUGGCGGUGAAAUGCGCAGAUAUCAGGAGGAACACCGGUGGCGAAGGCGGGUCUCUGGGCCGAUACUGACGCUGAGGAGCGAAAGCGUGGGGAGCGAACAGG